GGGCCUCUAGCUCAACGGUAGAGCAGUUGACUCUUAAUCAAUUGGUUCGGGGUUCGAAUCCCCGGGGGCCCACCA
rnacentral:tRNA from 1 species